rnacentral:rRNA from 1 species
UUGGAGGGCAAGUCUGGUGCCAGCAGCCGCGGUAAUUCCAGCUCCAAUAGCGUAUAUUAAAGUUGUUGCAGUUAAAAAGCUCGUAGUUGAAUUUCGGGAUCAGUUGGUCGGUCGUGCCUCGGUACGUACUGGUCAAAUUGAUUCCUACCUUCUGACGAACCACGAUGUCAUUAAUUUGGUGUCGCGGGAAAUCAGGACUGUUACUUUGAAAAAAUUAGAGUGUUUAAAGCAGGCUCGCGCUUGAAUACAUUAGCAUGGAAUAAUGAAAUAGGACGUUUGAUUCUAUUUUGUUGGUUUCUAGGAUCGACGUAAUGAUUAAUAGGGAUAGUUGGGGGCAUUAGUAUUCAAUUGUCAGAGGUGAAAUUCUUGGAUUUAUUGAAGACUAACUACUGCGAAAGCAUUUGCCAAGGAUGUUUUCAUUAAUCAAGAACGAAUGUUAGGGGAUCGAAGACGAUCAGAUACCGUCGUAGUCUUAACCAUAAACUAUGCCGACUAGGGAUCGGAUGAUGUUAAUUUUUUAAUGACUCAUUCGGCGCCUUACGGGAAAC